GUGUCAGCAGCCGCGGUCAUACGGAGGAUCCAAGCGUUAUCCGGAAUUACUGGGCGUAAAGAGUUGCGUAGGUGGCAUAGUAAGUAGAUAGUGAAAUCGGGUGGCUCAACCAUGCGCACAUUAUCUAAACUGCUAGGCUUGAGGACGAGAGAGGUACCUGGAAUUCCCAGUGUAGGAGUGAAAUCCGUAAAUAUUGGGAGGAACACCGAUGGCGUAGGCAGGGUACUGGCUCGUUCCUGACACUAAGGCACGAAAGCGUGGGGAGCAAACGGGAUUAGAUACCCCGGUAGUCCACGCCGUAAACUAUGGAUGCUAGCUGUUAUUCGUAUCGACCCGAGUAGUAGCGAAGCUAACGCGUUAAGCAUCCCGCCUGUGGAGUACGGUCGCAAGACUAAAACAUAAAGGAAUUGACGGGGACCCGCACAAGCGGUGGGGCGUGUUCUUUAAUUCGAAGGUAAGCGAAGAACCUUACCAGGGUUUGACAUCCCGAUAGCCGUUCUCUGAAAGGAGAAUUUCAUUUAGUUGGAUCGGUGACAGGUGUUGCAUGGCCGUCGUCAGCUCGUGUCGUGAGAUGUUUGGUUAAGUCCAUCAACGAGCGCAACCCUUGUAUUCAGUUGGAUUUUUCUGAAUAGACUGCCCCGGUAACGGGGAGGAAGGAGGGGAUGAUGUCAGGUCAGUAUUACCCUUACACCCUGGGCUAGAAACACGCUACAAUGGCCGGUACAAAGGGCAGCCAAGUCGCGAGACGGAGCAAAUCCCAUCAAAGCCGGUCCCAGUUCGGAUAGCAGGCUGAAACUCGCCUGCUUGAAGUUGGAAUCGCUAGUAACGGUGAGUCAGCACAUCACCGUGAAUACGUUCCCGGGUCUUGUACACACCGCCCGUCAAACCAUGAAAGUCACCAAUACCUGACGUGUUGCCUUAGCGCAGCCCUAAGGUAGGGGGGAUGAUUGGGGUUAAGUCGUAACAAGGUAACC
rnacentral:rRNA from 1 species